rnacentral:rRNA from 1 species
CAGUAGCCACGGUAAAACGAAGGGGGCUAGCGUUGUUCGGAAUUACUGGGCGUAAAGCGUGCGCAGGCGGUUUUAUAAGACAGGCGUGAAAUCCCCGGGCUCAACCUGGGAAUGGCGCUUGUGACUGCAAAGCUAGAGUAUGGCAGAGGGGGGUGGAAUUCCACGUGUAGCAGUGAAAUGCGUAGAGAUGUGGAGGAACACCGAUGGCGAAGGCAGCCCCCUGGGCCAAUACUGACGCUCAUGCACGAAAGCGUGGGGAGCAAACAGGAUUAGAUACCCGCGUAGUCCCUGUCUCUUAUAA